AUGCCCAAGAGAAAGGCUGAAGGGGAUGCUAAAGGAGAUAAAGCCAAAGUGAGGGACAAACCACAGAGAAGAUCUGCAAGGUUGUCUACUAAACCUGCUCCUCCAAAGCCAGAGACCAAGCCUAAAAAGGUCCCUGCAAAGAACGGAGAGAAGGUACUCAAAGGAGAAAUGGGAAAAGCUGACACUGGCAAGGAGGGGAAUAAGCCUGCAGAAAAUGGAGAUGCCAAAACAGACCAGACACAGAAAGGUGAGGGUGCUGGAGAUGCCAAGUGA
rnacentral:lncRNA from 1 species